UAACGCGUGGAGAACCUGCCGUAUACUGGGGGAUAACACUUAGAAAUAGGUGCUAAUACCGCAUAAGCGCACAGCUUCGCAUGAAGCAGUGUGGAAAACAAAAAGCUAAAGCUUUUGGUGGUAUACGAUGGAUCCGCGUCUGAUUAGCUGGUUGGCGGGGUAAAGGCCCACCAAGGCGACGAUCAGUAGCCGGCCUGAGAGGGUGAACGGCCACAUUGGGACUGAGACACGGCCCAAACUCCUACGGAAGGCAGCAG
rnacentral:rRNA from 1 species